GUGAAGUCUGAAGAUGACGACGUGUUGUUGUUGUCCUCCUGUUUUGUCGACAUCGUCCUAUGAAUAUUUAACUCACCAAGCCACGUCCUCAUUUGUGCAUUAAAGUUAACCAUGAAUAUAUGGCAAAUUAUAUGUACUUUUUGUUUUUUGUUUUUGAUCUAGUCCAGAGAGAGAGAGAGAGAGAGGUAAAGGGUUUGGUAGGGACGUCUGCACCAAGCCGUUCACCACUCGCAACAAUCAUUGGUGAUCCGCCUCACAUGUGUCUUCCGUAAAAAGUCAGGUCAGCUGUCACGCCUGUGAUCGUAUCAUAGGCUCAUAGAUCCUGAUCUCACGUCCCAGAACAAAGAAGUAACUAUAUAUUGGUAGGACGGUGGCGGCGGAAGACAGCUGUCAGGAUGUCAACAAACAAUUCAGUAGCCAUGGGAGAGGUGGUGUGGCACGUACUGUUAAGGAUGUUGUGGCGAUCCACUGUGUCAACCAGGAUGCCUCUGCCACACUCUGAGGUGUUUGAGAGGGGAGAAUAUUGACUUUGGGUGAUUCAUGGAAGUCACUGAAUAUGUGUCAUAUUGUUCAUCAUUAGGGGUUUAUCUGUUUGUAUAUAUUUAAUGCAUUUAAUUUAUUGUGUGCAUGAAGUAAAGCUUGAAAACAGUUGCUGUCUAAGAACUGAUGAAUACUUCUACAUUUCAGUUGUAUCUUGAAUAUGUAGACUCUACAUUACUUAGUCCAGUAGGAACUUGGACAAAGAUUUAUUCUCAGUAAGAUAUUUUCAGUAUAUAAAUGUUUUCCUUAAUAAAGAUUAAGUGCUUAGGAAAAUGCUAAAAAAUGUUGUCACUAAAGACUCUUGCUACAUAAUGGUUAAAUGGGUUAAAAAUUUCAUCUGUCACUUAGAACAAUAAUGAAUUAACGAGAUUUAUGAAACGCUAAAAACCACCUUUUAUAAAUAAUAUUAAAGUUAUUAACUUACCACAAGGGAGAUAAAAGUCCUUGUCUGAAUAAGUACCUGAGGAGAGGGAAAGUAUUGUUUAAACUAUUUGUUUAAACAAUUUGCAGAUAUUGUUGAGAUAAAGAUUCCCUUACAAAAUACUGCACCACAGACCAAGUGGAUACAUGUGUUGGAAUGGAAAACAGCAGGAAUGGUGCUUAUCCUGCAUUGGGAAGCCAAUACUUACAGUAGCUUGAGUCAAGUGCCACAUAAGAGAUAACAAAGCCUCUGUCACCCCUGUCAUGUCUGCCAUGCCUUCUAUCACUGGUGAAGUGAACCAGCACUUGGUCAUAGGCAGUGAUGGAGGCUUUUGGUGGAUGGCCAUGGCAGAACCUGUGAGGGGAAAACAUGCCUGGGGUUACUUUACAAGCCUUGACAUUUUUCUUUGCUUCUUGUACAUAAACAAUACAGUUCAGAACUAAAAUAAUGAAAAAAUAUUCAAAGACUGCUUGGAGAACAACUUAUUUUUUUGUCUCAUUGUUUUCCUUUUCUUAUCAAAGAGAUGAAAGUAAAUGUUGAAAGCACAGGAGAGAAAAAAGGUUGAUUUGUAUUGAAAGAACUAAAAUCAUUAGCAGUAAAGAGUGACAACUGCAGAGGAAUGUUUACAAGUUCAUUGCUUGGUGCACCGCAGCAGGUUGGUGUCCUUGUUCCUGAAACAGGUGAACACUUACACAAAAUGUCCUUUAUGGAAGCUGCCGUGCGGAGACACCCGUACUCUGUCCUGUCCAGCACACACACCACCACCAGACGUCUCCCCGGCACCAAGAUUUUGUUGCCCUCCCCGUGCCAGUUGGAAGUCAAUGAAGUCAAGCUUUAUCACGCAGUGAGCGCCAGGGUAUUUUGGAACACACUACCAGGGAACAAGUAUAAGGCUGUGCAGGAAAAUCUCAUCAUUCAAUUUAUGGCUUUUUGAAAUCUUAAGUAAAGUUACUUUAUAUUUUGUAUUGAUUUACAAAUGCAGAACUCCCAUUUGUUAAUAAAAUUCUACUUCAAGAUGUUUGAUUGGUUGUAAGAAACUUUUGUUUCAGAAACAAAAUUGUAAAUCACAUUUCACCAGUAUGUUUGAGACACUAGAGUAGGACCCCAUUAGAUUUCAUUCUGUAUUCCAUGUUCCUACUGGAGAAGAUAAAGAUGGACAUUAAGCAAGCAUUUGUAACCUUUGUAUUCUGUCUACAUGCUAGGAAGGUAGUUAAAGAAUAUUCUUCUUAAUAAAAGUGAUUUUGAUUUGCUUAAUAAUGAGAGGCAUCAAAGCAAUGGUAUUCAUGCAAAUGUACAAGAUAAUGGUAGAUACUAAGAUGAAACAUUUGCUCCAUACCCUGAAUAUGUAGGGGCACUCCAUUCCCAGGUGAUAGGGCUGAGGAUAAUCAAGGGAGGUAGCCAGUGUGCUUCUAUGAUAUUGCUGUGCACCAAACUUUGUGUAGAAGAUUCCUCCACAGCAGUAGCGAGUCUUUUCUACUUUAAUUCUGCAAGAGAAAACAUGGAAGUAUACUUCUAUAAAAAGAUAUUACUCCAUUAUUUUAUUGAAAAUUAGGGCCAUAUUAUUUUUGAGGUGUGUGUUUUCUUGUGCUUCACAGAUUUAAUUAUAUCGAGCCAUAAAAGAUAGUAAAUAUGGGAGGGAUAUACCAAAAAAGAAAAUUGUUCAAGAUCAUUCACUACCUUUCAGUGUUAUACACAUUAUUAUAUGCAUUUGUUAUUCUGGUUAUUUUAUUCAUAUUUUACUAACUGUAUGAGUGGCACAACAUCCAAAUCUCCAUUCCAGACAAACUUCCCGGCAGCCUCACUGGUGUGGGAGAUGAAGGUGAUAGGGGUGGUGGAGGAACACAGCCUGAGGAUGGGAGACAAUAGGCAGGAUGAUUCAAGUAACAAUUGUUCCUGAGUUGAGUGUGGAGGAUUCUUCUGGCCUUCCUUGUCCACGCCUGCUCCUUACCAGCCACUAUGGGUGCCUCCCUGAUGUUGCGGGGUGUUCUGGUUAUUCCUGAGCUACUUUCUGGCUUUUGUUUCUUUUCCCACGAAGACUGAUGAAGGAGGAAAUCACUGCUAUUCACAGUCCAUCUCUUAGGGCAGAAGGAGGAGGGACAUCGGUGCCAGUUUGACCGAGGCUUGGGAGGUGAUCAAUCCUAGGGCUCUGUUCUCCGUCAGCUGUGUCAAGGGCCUGGGCAGAGAAGCCUGGAGUUAACGCUGAUCUUCGCGACCCACCACAAGCAUAGUUACGACUCGUUGGCGCAGGACCGCAAGUUUUCCUUCCUGGGCCUGGUCAUGGCAAUUACACAGAGAGGGUUUAUGCGAAGUGUUAAGACUGGAACUGAAAAAGCAACUGCCAAUUAGGCACACACCUACAUUGUGAUGCAGCUCCUUGGAGGUGGAGAGCUGGCUGCCUCAGAGGAUCAGGAAACACGAGAGGUUCACAGAGGCUCGCCUCGGGCUUCGGUCGUCGUGAGGAACCUGGUGUCAGCAGUUCACUACGUGCACAGGAAAAGCAUCAGUGUUCACGGAGACCUAAAGCCAGACAGGGGUGAAAAGGGUUGGUGUUGAGGAUAGACAGAAAAGAAAAGAAAGGAAAGGUAAAAAAAGGAAGUUUUUUUGCAUUGAUUUUCCAUCUGCUUAUUUUAAAGAAUUUAUUGCAUGGAAUAUUAUUGAUCUCCAUCAUUUGUAUGGCCUUUAUAAUAAAAAGUAUGAAU